rnacentral:rRNA from 1 species
AUACGUAGGGUGCGAGCGUUGUCCGGAAUUACUGGGCGUAAAGAGCUCGUAGGUGGUUUGUCGCGUCGUCUGUGAAAUUCCGGGGCUUAACUCCGGGCGUGCAGGCGAUACGGGCAUAACUUGAGUACUGUAGGGGAGACUGGAAUUCCUGGUGUAGCGGUGAAAUGCGCAGAUAUCAGGAGGAACACCGGGGGCGAAGGCGGGUCUCUGGGCAGUAACUGACGCGGAGGAGCGAAAGCAUGGGUAGCGAACAGGAUUAGAUACCCUGGUAGUCCAUGCCGUAAACGGUGGGCGCUAGGUGUAGGGGUCUUCCACGACUUCUGUGCCGUAGCUAACGCAUUAAGCGCCCCGCCUGGGGAGUACGGCCGCAAGGCUAAAACUCAAAGGAAUUGACGGGG